rnacentral:lncRNA from 1 species
ACAGGAACUAGACUAGAACUGGCCAGAGGAUCUUUCCAAGAGCUCCCUUCUAGAAAUACAUGGUUACUGCCUCCAGAUGAAAGCAGAAUCUUCUCCUAAAAUUGGGCGUGUUCAUCUGACUUGGGCACAUCGCUGUAUCUUCAGUAUCCCUAAGAAUGACACAAACCAAAUGCAAAAUCAACUUGCCUGCCAAUAAGCAGAAAAUAUUUCACUGGUGACCAAAAUGCCUCAGCAGCCAUCAGAUAUGGGUCCCAAAUGCAUCCCCGGCCAUAUCUUUCCAUUGAUUUCAAUUGGCAUUCCUAAAACCUCAUAUUUAUGUUUGGCAUCUUUUCACCUACAGGAUUGUGACAGACCAUAAGCUGAGUGAGAGCAGGGACCCUGCUCUGUUCACUGCUGUAGUCCCAGUCCCUAGGACAGUGCCUGACUCAUAGCAGAACUCAAUAAAUAUUUAUUGAAUGAUAGUAUUUCCCUCUAGACAGCAUUUGCUUUCUCAGCACCAUCAGCACCAGCCUCAUGCACAUUUCUAGCAGGACAGAGGCGGCUGGCAGUCUUUCUACUUCAGGCCCUAAUUUCCCUAUAGACUUUCCAGAGCUUAAACUAGAACCACCCUUCAAUUCUUUCUGACAGUAAAGCAAGGAGGUCAGGAAUGGUCUUCCCUGUGAUUUGGCAGAAAGAUAAUGGGCUUAGAUGACUGGUCAAUCCCAGCUCCAGCUCAGGUAUGUGACUUUCAUCAAGGUAAUUUGUCACAGCAAAACUCAGUUUUGGCCAGGCAUGGGUGGCUCAUACCCAUAAUCCCAGCACUUUGGGAGGCUAAGGCAGGAGGAUAGCUUGAACCCAGGAACUUGAGACCAGCCUGGGAAACAUAGGGAGACCCUGUCUCUACAAAUAAAAUGAAAUAACAUAACAUAACAUAACAAAAUAAAAUAAAUUUUAAAAAUCUAAAAGUCUCAGUUUGCUCCUAUGUUAGAAGUGGGGAUAACAGUACCAAGCCCAAAUGAUGGUGGUUUUAAUUGAGAUGAAUGCUCAUUUGCUGGCUAAUGCUUAUUGAAUGCUGGCCAUGUGUUUAAAUGAUGGGAAGCCUUCUUAAAGGACUGUGGGGCCCUCACUAGGGGGAGAGGCUGGUUGGAAGGCCUCCAUGUGAAUGAGAGAGAAUGAGAUGAUGGUGCUGCUGAGGUCGCCAGCACUCUAAAGGCCUGAGCUCUCUGCCAGCCCCCUCCCACCUCACUCCCUCAGGCCCUCCCCUGCCUGUCUGCACCCUUCCCCACCACCCCCAUUAAAGGGAAGCUGCCCAGAAGUGAGACUUUGGAGAGGUGUUUGAACACACUGGUAGAAAUUCCAUAGACACGUAGGUGAUUUAGAGAGAACAAGUUGCUCUUUAAAAAAUACAACACAUCUCAGCUACUCAGCAAGCCCAGCGUUGCAAGAAAAAGGAAGGGACAACUAGCAUUAAGACUCAGGGGAAAGCCCUCCUUGCUUUCAAGUACUUGCUUGAAGCCAAGCAGUACUGCCUCUUGGGAACCAAAUCAUCAGGCUUCUUGCCAAAGGCUAGGUCAGUAUGCUACUUUUACCCAAGAAAGUACAAAGGAUCUAGGCAGCCCCAGAAAAUGUCUUACCUUCUCCUCCCCUAAACUUUUUUUUUUUUUUUUUGAGACGAAGUCUUGCUCUGUUGCCCAGGCUGNNNNNNNNNNNNNNNNNNNNNNNNNNNNNNNNNNNNNNNNNNNNNNNNNNNNNNNNNNNNNNNNNNNNNNNNNNNNNNNNNNNNNNNNNNNNNNNNNNNNNNNNNNNNNNNNNNNNNNNNNNNNNNNNNNNNNNNNNNNNNNNNNNNNNNNNNNNNNNNNNNNNNNNNNNNNNNNNNNNNNNNNNNNNNNNNNNNNNNNNNNNNNNNNNNNNNGGAUUACAGGCAUGAGCCACUGCGCCCAGUUUCUCCUCCCCUAAAACCCACUGGAGGCUUCCACUGCUCUUAGGGUUAAGUCCAAACUUCCCGCUACCGUGACCGAGCUCUCACCCACCUUUCUCCAAACUUACUUCUUUUCUCCCCCUGCCCUGAGUAAGUUCGACCCUCUAGGAAGUCUGAACUUCUAUCAGUUCCACAAAAGAGCCCUGCUUCCUCUUAUCUCCAUACUUGGAGGCCUUUGUACCUACUGUGUCCUGAAGUGACUUCCCUUCUCCCAUCUCCCCACUUGUGCCCACCCGAACGCUCCCCGCCCCCUGGCCCCCGCUGGCUCCUACUCUCUUCCAAGCUCACAAUAGACAACCCUGCCCUUAAGGAGGCUCCCUUAGCCACUACCCUUCACACUCACACCACCACAGAAACAUAUCAGGGAUGCAUGCUGCUCCAGGGGACUCCUGCGGCACCCCGACUUCCUUUUGGUGGGUAUUUACCACCCUGCUCUUAACUUUUUCCUUUUCCUUUUUUUUUUUUUUAUUGUUGUUGUUGUUGUUGUUGUUUAGAGAUGGGGGUCUCACUGUGUUGCUCAGGCUGGAGUGCACUGGCUGUUAAUAGGUGCGAUCAUAGCUCACUGUAGCCUCAAAUUCCUGGGCUGAAAAGAUCCUCCCACCUCAGCUUCCCCAGUAGCUGAAACUACAGAUAUGCACCAUGACCACCUUACAUUGAAAUUCACCCCUUUCUUUCUUUUUUUUUUUUUUUUUGAGAUGGAGUCUUGCUCUGUCGCCAGGCUGGAGUACAGUGGCGUGAUCUCAGCUCACUGCAACCUCCACCUCCUUUGUUCAAGCGAUUCUCCUGCCUCAGCCUCCCGAGUAGCUGGGACUACAGGCAUGUGCCACCACACCCAGCUAAUUUUUGUAUUUUUAGUAGAGACAGGGUUUCACCAUGUUGGCCAAGAUGGUCUCGAUCUCUUGACCUUGUGAUCCACCUGCCUCGGCCUCCCAAACUGUUGGGAUUACAGGCGUGAGCCACCACGCCUGGCCUCACCCCUUUCUUUUAUGUCUCCCUCACUACUCUGUGGGCUCUGGGAGAAUGUCUGAGCUCACUGCCGUGUCCCUAGUACCCAACCCAUUUUCUGCAGAUUAAGGGUGCUCAGAAGGAUUUGAGGAAAAAAUACAGUCAGGAAUGAGGCUUCCCUCUCUGUGGAACACUCAGCAUCAUGCCAGGAACCCAGCUUCCCAAAUGGCCCCAGGGAGCCUCAGUGGGGUGCCGUCUACAAAACAGCUGACCCUCAGUAUUUCCCACUUUUCUCAACCCAGGUCAAGGCUGUCCCUUCCAGAAACCACUCUACUUGACCUUAAUAGCCUGUGGCCUCUUGCUACAGAAUCACGUAGUGGCUAAGAGCAUGACCCCUGGAGCACAAGGCCCUGCUGGACUAUUCACUACUGUGGUGGCUUGGCAAAGUCACUAAACUUCUUUGUGCCUCAGCUUUCUAAAAUGAGGCUCACUGGGAACAUGAGGAUCAUAUAAAAUAGCACAGCCUCGUCCACAGUCACCACCAAGUGAUGCUGGUUAUGAUUGUGCCUCUUUGCUCCUGUGACAGCUUUUUUCAGCAGUUCAUCAGCUCUUUUGUAGGGGAGUUAAACACGACUAGACUAACUGGUUAUUCCCCUCCUGGACUUUCCUUGAUCUUUUCAGUGUUUUUGUGGUAUUUCUGAUAGAUGGCAUUAACCCUACAGAUCAAGAUGCAGCCUCAUUUGUGUUUUUGGUUUCUGUGGUUUCCUUGGCACACAGAGAGGGAGAAACAAACCGUUUGACUGAUUGGGCAUCUGGGUGGUCUCUUACUUCUGAAGGCCAAUGCCUGAUAUGGUAUGGUGUACACCACUCAUGCUCCAAACUUGAGGGUAGGAGAGGGCACCGUGGUCCCCAGAGCCAUGUGUUCUUGCAAGGCGGCCACCAUGCAGAGGAAGGGGUACCUUCCUCUGCAACAGAUGCAAGCAAACAUGGUGGUAACACCAUAGCACAUGGCUGAGGGUCCAGAAAACCCCUCCAUUUGGCUCUGGGAAAGCCUAUUAGAAGCCAUCAUUCUAGGUGUCUCAAAAUGUUGCCUUCUAAGUCAAAUCCACUCAAAUCAAAUUAAUUUCCUUUCUCUACAUCUUUCCGCCUCACACUUCAACUCUAACUAAUGUAAUACUCAGUGUUUUUGAGUUUAUCCAGUUCUCAUCAUCUUACUAUUACCACCUUGCCAUCACCAAUGUGCUACCUGGACGACUGUUACAGCCUCCCCACUGGUUCAUCCUGCUUCCACUUUUGCCCCAUCCAGUCCAUUUUCUCAGAAAAACCAGAAAAAUCAUUUUAAAAUGCAAACGUGUUAAUAUACCUCUCUCCUACACACACAUGCAGGCAUGCAUGCACACACACACACACACCCUUCGUAAACCUCUUGAAGUCAUUCUGUUUUCAAAAAUCAACCAAAAGACUUAAUGUGGCCUUCAGGACCAAUAUCAUCACUCCUGCCCAGCUCUUCAAGACCAACUGUGGCCUGCUCUCUGGAUUCCAUCCAAGCUGACCUUUCUUUAGCUGUUACAAAGGCCAAAUACCUUUCUUGCAUCAGAGCCAGUGUGCACAAUGUUCGUUUGCCUGGAACACCCUCUUUUCAUGCCCAUCCCAUCACCUCAAUCACACCCACCAUCCCUCCGAAAUGCAAACAUCACUUCUUCAUAAGGCACUUCCCUUACCCACAAUGUAAAUUAGGACUCAUUAUUCUCCCACCGGCCUCUAUUUUUUGGUCACAACAUUUAGCACGUUUUAUAAAUCCAUGUUUACUUGGAUGUUUGUUCACUUAAUAUCAGCCUUUCCUACCCAUCACUAAGUUCCAAAAUAGACAGGACCUUGGCUGUUUGGUACACCAGUUGUAUCUCAAGGUGAAGACAGUUCUAGAUAUAUGGUGAACUCCUAAUCGAUGAUUUGCUGGGUUUUAUCACUUUACUUACAGUCAAUUCCAGGCAGGCUAUAUCUGUAUCUUGGUAAUAGGAGGAAAUAUUUUUCAGUUUUUUCACCACCAAGAGCUUCUUUGCGGCUCUCCCUCUCCCCACUGACUUGGUGUAUUGAAAGAUAGUGGGUAACAACUCUACACAUUAAGUCAUAAUUAGCUUAUUUUAUCAUUUUGUUCAUCCAAAGCAUGUAAUACUGCUAAUCAAAGCUUUUAAUUAGAAGUAGUGCAUGAA